rnacentral:rRNA from 1 species
AAUGACGGUACUUGAGGAGGAAGCCCCGGCUAACUACGUGCCAGCAGCCGCGGUAAUACGGAGGGGGCUAGCGUUAUCCGGAUUUACUGGGCGUAAAGGGUGCGUAGGCGGUCUUUCAAGUCAGGAGGGAAAGGCUACGGCUCAACCGUAGUAAGCUCUUGAAACUGGGAGACUUGAGUGCAGGGGAGGAGAGUGGAAUUCCUAGUGUAGCGGUGAAAUGCGUAGAUAUUAGGAGGAACACCAGUUGCGAAGGCGGCUCUCUGGACUGUAACUGACGCUGAGGCACGAAAGCGUGGGGAGCAAACAGGAUUAGAUACCCUGGUAGUCCACGCUGUAAACGAUGAGUACUAGGUGUCGGGGGUUACCCCC